UACGUAGGUGGCAAGCGUUGUUCGGAAUUAUUGGGCGUAAAGGGCGCGUAGGCGGUUUGUUAAGUCGGCUGUGAAAGCCCGGGGCUCAACCCCGGAGGGUCAGCCGAUACUGGCAGACUAGAGUACGGAAGAGGUAGCUGGAAUUCCCGGUGUAGCGGUGAAAUGCGUAGAUAUCGGGAGGAACAUCAGUGGCGAAGGCGGCCUUCUGGUCCAGUACUGACACUCAAGUGCGAAAGCGUGGGGAGCAAACAGG
rnacentral:rRNA from 1 species